rnacentral:misc_RNA from 1 species
AUGUUACCUAUUACGUUCAUAGACGUGUGUGGACAACGGACCGCGCCUUCUCCCAGUCACUACGUGACCACCCUCACCGCCACAGCAGCGACCUCAGCAUUGAUUACGAUAGAGACGUGCAGCUACGACUUGCUGCACACCUGAGCUACAGCCAGACAUAUACGUCAUCCAGCACUAUCCUCGCGGGGUACCCCCCCUCCCCCUCCCCCGGUUCACCUCUGCUCCUCGGCCGCUGCCCCUUCUGCGCCGCUGCCCCUUGCCCCCCCCCCUCCUCCUCUACCGAGUCCUCGCACCAUCUUCCUUUUUGUUUUAUGUGUGUCUUCGCGCUCGGCUCUCUUCUUUUGAUGUCUGCGGCUCAGGUUCGACGUAGCGACGGUGCGUGGGAAGUGCCCUCGCCUGACACUUCACGUGACUCCCAGCCGCUUCGACUUGCAUACGGUGCGGGUGGCGUCGCCACGAGAUGCACUUCGACACAUGCAAAGAACGAAAUUCAGCCCCACCUAGACGCAAUUCACCGAGAGUUGGUGGAACUGAAGCAUCGUCGUGAGCGGCUGGAAGCGCAGCGAAAGGAGCUGCUCGAGGGAAGGCGCGAGCACGCGGAAGGUCAGCGGACAGGAUGCGUUUCGGGCAGCGUGUCGACGCAUGCGGGGGUAGCGAGGUCGCACUCAACUUCGGGUCUUACCUUCGCGCACCCAUGCAGCGAGAUGGAUUCGCUCACCGCCUGCUCCGGAUUGCACGCAGCGCAUGAACGCCAUUCUAAAAGUGUCUAUCAAGACUCAUUUGUGCUUGCCAACAUGAAGCCCAUUCCAUCGGAAAAGGAGCGGCGACGUCUUUUGAAGGCAACACCACACCUUGCCGUCAAGAACGCACUGCGCACGGCGGCCCAGCACGACAGCACGCUGCUCAUGGGAUCUUUUUUGCUUGAAGACAACCCGCACACGUGCACCUUUGCGCGAGAACGUCGCUUCCGUCCGCUGCUUGGCCAAAAAGGAAAGUACUUCCUCAGUGCGGACGUUGCCGUGGACCAGUGUAUGAACCGCAGCCACGCAAACGCGACGAAAUCGCUGAGUGCAUUGGGUAGCGCUAGCCAAACGCCCGGCCCAGGUGCCUACACGCCACGAUACAGCAAGCUUUCGCGUCCACCACGCUCUUCCUAGCUGCAUCACAGGGGCAUCCGCUUCGCCAGAAGCCAGCGGGUACGUGCUUCCACUCCCAAUCUCGCGUCCACGCGGGCACCUACACAUCGAGCAGUGGUGGGCAGAUGGGUUGGCGGUGCCACUCUCACUUCUCAUUUCCGCUUCUCGGAGGCGGUAAAUGUGAAUUGGGUGGGCGCGUCGACGUCGCAGCAUGAGGCUGCGUGCCCUUCUCCGGCCCGCGUACGUCUCAUCAUCUUUUUUGUUCUCAACCGAGAGCAGCCACUGCGCGGUCCUCUCUGUGGACCCAGAGAGGAUACCCCCGCCAGAAAACUGACGCCCUCCCUCCCUCCCCCCAUGCACAGACGCAAACAGCAGUUGCUUUGAUUUUAUAAUGCGCGUCGUGUGCUGCGCACCUUGCCUCGAUCCGCUGUCCAUGGACACCGUUUCUUCAUGACUUUCCGUUUUGUUUAUCAUAGAUAUUUGCCGCUCAGCGAGUAUUAUAAUUUGGGUUGUGAGCUGUCGUCUCCUGCAGAUUGAUGGGCGGUUUCCGGCUUAGGUUGCUCACGUUCUCCUGUUCUCCACCAUCUCGGCAUCUGUCCUCUACUCGUCAUCGUAUUUGUUUGCUAUUUUUUUAUUUGCGUGUCUGGUGUCCCCCUCUUUCUUUGCUGGUUUGCUGAUGUCGGCAUGCGCUUGCAUGCAACGAAGGCCGUCGCGCGGCGGUCACUCAUUGAUAUCUCUUACGUGGCUAGGAGGUGUGCGUGCCCGGAGGUGUGUUUGUGUGUGUGCUUGUGGGUGGGCGCGUGUUUUGAUUCACAUGGGCGCCUGUGCGCGCGUGCUGCACCUGUCGCACCGUGCUCUCUGUCUCGUGUGUGUUACUGUGUCAUGCCGUUUCUGUUGUUUUUUUUUUUCGGUUUUCCUGUUCUGCGUGAGGCGCUGAAGAGGCGCCUUCAUAGCGAUGAUCAAUAACUGCACUUCUCCGGGUUGGGUUGACCGCUUAGAUACCCGAGCAGCAGCCCAGCUGACUUGCCGCUAACCCUUAACUUUCUGUCUCCAGCUCCGUUGCUUAUUAUGCGCUGUCGACACAGCGUACGGAUUACGUGCCUGUCUGUCGACAAAGAAGAGGAGGCCAACGAUGCCCAGGAC